UCGCGGCUUAUCACCGGCAGUCCCCUUAGAGUGCCCAACUAAAUGAUGGCAACUAAAGACGAGGGUUGCGCUCGUUGCGGGACUUAACCCAGCAUCUCACGACACGAGCUGACGACAGCCAUGAAGCACCUGUGUUCUAGCCAGCUUAACUGAAGGAAUCCAUCUCUGGAAACCAUACUAGACAUGUCAAACGCUGGUAAGGUUCUGCGCGUUGCUUCGAAUUAAACCACAUGCUCCACCGCUUGUGCGGGUCCCCGUCAAUUCCUUUGAGUUUUAACCUUGCGGCCGUACUCCCCAGGCGGUCAACUUCACGCGUUAGCUUCGUUACCAAGGGAAUCAAUCCCCCGACAACCAGUUGACAUAGUUUAGGGCGUGGACUAC
rnacentral:misc_RNA from 1 species